UGCUGGAGAUGUCUGAACGCCUGCCUGCAGAUGAGAAACAGUGAAGAAAUUCCUUAUUUUGCUUUGCUUGCACUCAUAGCUUUUUCUUUACUUAUUGAACUUACUGUCUUUAUCUCAACUCACGAGCUUUCUCACUUUUAUUCUUCUGAUUCUCUCCCCUAUUCCAGCUGGGGAAAGUGAGUGAGUGGCUGUAUGGUCCUUAGUUGCCAGCUGGGGUUAAACCAUGACAAUGACAUUUCAGAGUUAUAAAUGAGACUGGAGUAGGAGAAAAGUGUUGUUUUGCCUGAAGCCCUUUUUGUAUGUGACAAAGAUGAUGCUGUACCGAAAAAGGUACAGUAUGAACGUACUCCAGCUGAUCACAAGACUGAAAGGAGAACAGCUCUUCUGAAGACUUGGUCAUGAGGAAACUGUCUAAAUGUACGGAGAUAAAUUUCAUAAAUAAUAAGAAAUGGAGCAGCUCUUCUGCGGUGAAGCAGGAAAUGAGUGCUGGCAUCUGAAGCUUCUGCUGUGCCUGUCACAUCCUGGGAGGAUUAUUACUCUGUUGUAUUCCUCUUAGCAAUCUCAUGAGAUAUGUUAAAAAAAUAUAAAGGCACUGAAGGUAGAGGGCAAGCUCAUACUGGCAAAGGCAAUGGAGCCAAAAGAGAUUAAGAAAGUAUAUUUUCACUCCUUGGGCUUAGAAACAAAUUCCUCCUCCAUGCAUCUACCACUUGAGGAUGUCUUUCUUGCUCUUUACCAUCAGGAUGUGAUUUGGAUUUCAUGGCCAACAUCUGCAGAGCAGACGCCUAUUGUGUUAUGCCCUUCGUGAGCAGUCCACCACUUAUUGGUGCAAAAAUGUCCUUUGGACAACAGACAGUCCAGCAGGUUUAAAGAGACAAGACAGAAAAGGUAGAAGUCAUCAACACCUUCCAGCAAUCCAAAUAACAAACAUAAUUUUUGUUGUCAAUCUUCUAACAACUCUCCUCCUUGAACGUUGAGAAUAUUACAGAACACAGAAGGCCAUCAAGAAGAGUUUCGAUGUUACCCAAAUGAUAUUAACAAAAUCAAAGGUAAACUGCAUUGAGAAAUGGAAAGCAAUACUGCAUUUUGAGCUGCUCAUCUAUUGUGACACCGAAAAUUAGGUCCCUUUAA